AACGAACGCUGGCGGCAGGCUUAACACAUGCAAGUCGAACGCCCCGCAAGGGGAGUGGCAGACGGGUGAGUAACGCGUGGGAACAUACCCUUUUCUACGGAAUAGCUCUGGGAAACUGGAAUUAAUACCGUAUACGCCCUACGGGGGAAAGAUUUAUCGGGGAAGGAUUGGCCCGCGUUGGAUUAGCUAGUUGGUGGGGUAAAGGCCUACCAAGGCGACGAUCCAUAGCUGGUCUGAGAGGAUGAUCAGCCACAUUGGGACUGAGACACGGCCCAAACUCCUCGGGGAGGAGGCAGGGGGGAAUUUUGGAAAAGGGGGGAAGGCUGAACCCACCCAUGCCGGGGGAGUAAGAAGGGCCUUGGGGUGGAAAACCUCUUUCACAGAUGAAGAAAAGGAGGGUAGCGGGAGAAGAAGCCCGGGCUAACUUCGUG
rnacentral:rRNA from 1 species